AGAAUCAACGCUGGCGGCGUGCCUAACACAUGCAAGUCGCACGAGAAAGUGGAGCAAUCCAUGAGUAAAGUGGCGCACGGGUGAGUAACACGUGAAUUAUCUACCUCCGAGUGGGGAAUAACUGAGAGAAAUCUUAGCUAAUACCGCAUAACACUUACGAGUCAAAGCAGCAAUGCGCUUGGAGAGGAGUUCGCGGCCGAUUAGUUAGUUGGCGGGGUAAUGGCCACCAAGACGAUGAUCGGUAUCCGGCCUGAGAGGGCGCACGGACACACUGGAACUGAAACACGGUCCAGACUCCUACGGGAGGCAGCAGUGGGGAAUUUUGCGCAAUGGGGGAAACCCUGACGCAGCAACGCCGCGUGGAGGAUGAAGCCCCUUGGGUGUAAACUCCUUUCGAUCGGGAAGAUAAUGACGGUACCGAUAUAAGAAGACCCGGCUAACUUCGCGCCAGCAGCCGC
rnacentral:rRNA from 1 species